UACGUAGGGAGCAAGCGUUGUCCGGAAUCAUUGGGCGUAAAGCGCGCGUAGGUGGCCAUGUAAGUCCGCUGUGAAAGUCAAAGGCUCAACCUUUGAAAGCCGGUGGAUACUGCACGCUAGAGUACGGAAGAGGCGAGUGGAAUUCCUGGUGUAGCGGUGGAAUGCGCAGAUAUCAGGAGGAACACCGAUGGCGAAGGCAGAUCUCUGGGCUGACACUGACGCUCAUGCACGAAAGCGUGGGGAGCAAACAGG
rnacentral:rRNA from 1 species